rnacentral:lncRNA from 10 species
CAGGUUGGAGUGCAAUGGCGCGAUCUCGGCUCACUGCAACCUCCGUCUCCUGGGUUCAAGCGAUUUCCUUGCCUCAGCCUCCCGAGUAGCUGAGAUUACAGGUGCCUGCUGCCACACCCGGCUAAUUUUGGUAUUUUUAGUAGAGAUGGGUUUUCACCAUGUUGGCCAGGCUGGUCUCGAACUCCUGACCUCAGGUGAUCUGCCCACCUCGGCCUCCCAAAGUGCUGUGAUUACAGGCGUGAGCCACCGCACCAGCCGAGAUUAACAUUUUAAAUUGAUGGACUUUGAUUAAAGCAGAUUGCCCUUCAUAAGGUACGUGGGCCUCAUUCAGACUGUUGAGGUCUUCUUAGAGUAAGACUGACUCCCAGAGGAAUUCCACCAGCACAGGACCUUCAAACUUGGACUGCAGCACCAGCUUCUCCCUGGGUCUUCACAAUGUUGGCCCACCCUGCAAUUUUUGGACUUACUCAGGUACUGGAUGAACUAUUUUUCUUGAGAGUCAUAAUUUCAAGUUAAUCUAAUGAAAGUAUCCCAGUUUAGCUGAAAAUAUUCCUUCACUUUCAGUGUUUCUCUGUUUUAAAAUUUAUGUAAAUAUUCACUUGAUAUUGAAGCAAAGACACUUCCAUUAUUGUCACAAUGGUUAUCAUUCAUUAUGGUCCCAUGAGAUAUCUCUCACUUCAUCUCUUGCUUUUUUUAUUUGAUUGAACAGAUAAAUUCACUUUUAUAGAUGAGGAAACUGAGUUACCUAAUCUGUAAAGAACUUGCUCAAUGUUACAUGUAAAGUUAAGGGAAGAACUAGGGAUUUGCACAUACUUUGGAGUUCUCACAUCUUUGUGCCCACCCGUCAGAAUGUACUAUUUGUAUAGAAUGUUUUUUAAAUAAUUGUAUUUGCUUGAGUCACAGAUUGUAUUUUUAUUUCAAUGCACAAUGUUUUGAUGACCCAGUUGAGUACUUAGAGUUCUUAUCACAAUGUUUUAUAAUUGUUCAUUUACCGGUCUGUUUAAUCAAAAAGAUUGAGUUCUCUGAGGGCCAAGAUUGGAACUUCUAUCUUUGUAUUUCCAGCAUCUGGUAAAGUGUAUGAUAGGGAGAAAAUGCUUGAUAAAUAUUUGUCAAAUAAUUGAAUAAAUAAGAGUUCUCUUAUAA